UACGUAGGGUGCAAGCGUUGUCCGGAAUUAUUGGGCGUAAAGGGCGCGUAGGUGGCGCGGGCAGUCAACGGUGAAAGUUCGGGGCUCAACCCUGAAUCGGCCGUCGAUACUCCCGGGCUUGAGCACUGUAGAGGCAGAUGGAAUUCCGGGUGUAGCGGUGGAAUGCGUAGAGAUCCGGAAGAACACCGGUGGCGAAGGCGGUCUGCUGGGCAGUAGCUGACACUGAGGCGCGACAGCGUGGGGAGCAAACAGG
rnacentral:rRNA from 1 species